CGCGAAUUCGCCCUUCGGGGUGCAGCAGGCGCGAAAACUUUACAAUGCUGGCAACAGCGAUAAGGGGACCUCGAGUGCCAGGAUACAAUCUUGGCUGUCGCGAUGCCUAAAAAGCAUUGCAUAGCAAGGGCCGGGCAAGACCGGUGCCAGCCGCCGCGGUAACACCGGCGGCUCGAGUGGUAACCGCUAUUAUUGGGUCUAAAGGGUCUGUAGCCGGCCGGAUAAGUCUUUUGGGAAAUCCAGCUGCUCAACAGUUGGGCUUUCAGAAGAUACUGUUCGGCUCGAGACCGGGAGAGGUGAGAGGUACUUCAGGGGUAGGGGUGAAAUCUUGUAAUCCUUGAAGGACCACCAGUGGCGAAGGCGUCUCACCAGAACGGAUCUGACGGCAAGGGACGAAAGCUAGGGGCACGAACCGGAUUAGAUACCCGGGUAGUCCUAGCCGUAAACGAUACUCGCUAGGUGUCAGCCACGGUGCGACCGUGGUUGGUGCCGUAGGGAAGCCGUGAAGCGAGCCGCCUGGGAAGUACGGCCGCAAGGCUGAAACUUAAAGGAAUUGGCGGGGGAGCAC
rnacentral:rRNA from 1 species